rnacentral:rRNA from 1 species
UACGUAGGUGGCAAGCGUUGUUCGGAAUUAUUGGGCGUAAAGGGCGCGUAGGCGGCAUGUUAAGUCGGCUGUGAAAUCCUGGAGCUCAACUCCAGAACUGCCUUUGAUACUGGCGAUCUUGAGUCCGGAAGAGGUUAGUGGAAUUCCCAGUGUAGAGGUGAAAUUCGUAGAUAUUGGGAGGAACACCAGUGGCGAAGGCGGUCCCCUGGGCCGGAACUGACGCUGAGGCGCGAAAGCGUGGGUAGCAAACGGG